rnacentral:sRNA from 1 species
GCUGGGUGUGGUAGCGCAUGCCUGUAAUCCCAGAGGUUCAGGAGGCUGAGGCAAGAGGAUCAAGAGUUCAAAGCCAGCCUCAGCAAUUUAGCAAGGCCCUAAGCAGCUCAGACCUUGUCUCUA